rnacentral:rRNA from 1 species
GAUGAACGCUAGCUACAGGCUUAACACAUGCAAGUCGAGGGGAAACGACAUCGAAAGCUUGCUUUUGAUGGGCGUCGACCGGCGCACGGGAGAGUAACGCGUAUCCCACCUGCCCAUCACUUGGGGAUAACCUUGCGAAAGUAAGACUAAUACCCAAUGAUAUCUCUAGAAGAAAUCUGAAAGAGAUUAAAGAUUUAUCGGUGCUGGAUGGGGAUGCGUCUGAUUAGCUUGUUGGCGGGGUAACGGCCCACCAAGGCAACGAUCAGUAGGGGUUCUGAGAGGAAGGUCCCCCACAUUGGAACUGAGACCCGGUCCAAACUCCUACGGGAGGCAGCAGUGAGGAAGAUUGGUCAAUGGGCGAGAGCCUGAACCAGCCAAGUAGCGUGCAGGAAGACGGCCCUAUGGGUUGUAAACUGCUUUUAUAAGGGAAUAAAGUGGGAGUCGUGACUCUUUUUGUAUGUACCUUAUGAAUAAGCACCGGCUAAUUCCGUG